rnacentral:rRNA from 1 species
AGUGAACGCUGGCGGUAGGCCUAACACAUGCAAGUCGAACGAGUGGCGGACGGGUGAGGAAUACAUCGGAAUCUACUUUUUCGUGGGGGAUAACGUAGGGAAACUUACGCUAAUACCGCAUACGAUUGAAUGAGCCGAUGUCGGAUUAGCUAGUUGGCGGGGUAAAGGCCCACCAAGGCGACGAUCCGUAGCUGGUCUGAGAGGAUGAUCAGCCACACUGGAACUGAGACACGGUCCAGACUCCUACGGGAGGCAGUAGUGGGGAAUAUUGGACAAUGGGCGCAAGCCUGAUCCAGCCAUACCGCGUGGGUGAAGAAGGCCUUCGGGUUGUAAAGCCCUUUUGUUGGGAAAGCGGUACCCAAAGAAUAAGCACCGGCUAACUUCGUGCCAGCAGCCGCGGUAAUACGAAGGGUGCAAGCGUUACUCGGAAUUACUGGGCGUAAAGCGUGCGUAGGUGGUCGUUUAAGUCCGUUGUGAAAGCCCUGGGCUCAACCUGGGAACUGCAGUGGAUACUGGGCGACUAGAUGUGGUAGAGGGUAGCGGAAUUCCUGGUGUAGCAGUGAAAUGCGUAGAGAUC